rnacentral:rRNA from 1 species
AGUGAACGCUGGCGGUAGGCCUAACACAUGCAAGUCGAACGGCAGCACAGUAAGAGCUUGCUCUUACGGGUGGCGAGUGGCGGACGGGUGAGGAAUACAUCGGAAUCUACUUUUUCGGGGGGGAUAACGUAGGGAAACUUACGCUAAUACCGCAUACGACCUACGGGUGAAAGCAGGGGAUCUUCGGACCUUGCGCGAUUGAAUGAGCCGAUGUCGGGUUAGCUAGUUGGCGGGGUAAAGGCCCACCAAGGCGACGAUCCGUAGCUGGUCUGAGAGGAUGGUCAGCCACACUGGAACUGAGACACGGUCCAGACUCCUACGGGAGGCAGCAGUGGGGAAUAUUAGACAAUGGGCGCAAGCCUGAUCCAGCCGUACCGCGUGGGUGAAGAAGGCCUUCGGGUUGUAAAGCCCUUUUGUUGGGAAAGAAAAGCAGCAGGUUAAUACCCCGCUGUUCUGACGGUACCCAAAGAAUAAGCACCGGCUAACUUCGUG